ACCGCGUUGAUGUUCUGGCCGAACGGCUGCUCCACGGUGGCGGGCCGAUAACCCAGUUCGGGUCGUGCCGGUUCGGGUUCGGUGCGCGGUGC
rnacentral:tRNA from 1 species